rnacentral:rRNA from 1 species
GGCUAACCUGCCCUUGGGACGAGAAUAACCCCGGGAAACUGGGGCUAAUUCGCGAUAGGUGAAGAACUCUGGAAUGAGUCUUCGCCCAAAAGACGUUGGGGUUAUGCUCUCCAGCGCCGCCCAAGGAUGGGGCCGCGGCCGAUCAGGUUGUUGGUGAGGUAAUGGCUCACCAAGCCUUUUACCGGUGCGGGCCGUGGGAGCGGGAGCCCGGAGAUGGGCACUGAGACAAGGGCCCAGGCCCUACGGGGCGCAGCAGUCGCGAAAACUUUGCAAUAAGCGAAAGCUUGACAGGGCUAUCCCGAGUGCCAUCCGCUGAGGAAGGCUUUUACCCAGUCUAGAACGCUGGGGGAAUAAGGAGAGGGCAAGUCUGGUGUCAGCCGCCGCGGUAAUACCAGCUCUCCGAGUGGUGUGGAUGUCUAUUGGGCCUAAAGCAUCCGUAGCUGGCUAGGUUAGUCCCCUGUUAAAUCCACCGAAUUAAUCGUUGGAUUGCGGGGGAUACUGCUUGGCUAGGGGACGAGAGAGGCAGACGGUAUUUCCGGGGUAGGGGUGAAAUCCUAUAAUCCCGGGAAGACCACCAGUGGCGAAGGCUGUCUGCUAGAACGCGCCCGACGGUGAGGGAUGAAAGCUGGGGGAGCGAACCGGAUUAGAUACCCGGGUAGUCCCAGCUGUAAACGAUGCAGACCAGGUGUUUGGACGGCCACGUGCCGUUCUAGUGCCGCAGGGAAGCUGUUAAGUCUGCCGCCUGGGGAGUACGAUCGCAAGAUUGAAACU